GCCUCGUUAGCGCAGUAGGCAGCGCGACAGUCUCAUAAUCAAAUGUAGAAAUCUGAAGGUCGUGAGAUCCGAUCCUCACACGGGGCA
rnacentral:tRNA from 1 species